rnacentral:tRNA from 1 species
GGCUCUAUGGCGCAAUGGAUAGCGCAUUGGACUUCUAAUUCAAAGGUUGUGGGUUCGAGUCCCACCAGAGUCG